rnacentral:tRNA from 2 species
GGGGCAUUAGCUCAGUUGGCUAGAGCGUUUGACUGGCAGUCAAGAGGUCAGGGGUUCGACUCCCCUAUGCUCCA